UUUCAAAAAAAAAAAAAAAAAAGUUUUUCCUUACAAGAAUUUGGGCAUGCAUGCUAAGAAGCAUAAUAGUUUUACAGUGGAACAUGGGCUGAGGGACCUCCAAAGGGAAGUUGAAGCCUUGGAGGCAUUGCUCCUAUAUAAUGAAGUGGAACUAUUCUCUUAAGGCCUAAGCCCAUGCUUAAAACAGAGUACGAUUUCAUAACACCUGAAAUCAAAUACAAGAUGCAUGCUAGCAGUACACAUAAGAGGAGCCAAACCCAGUUCAACAAUGGGUAAAAAAAAGUAUCUAUUGAGAACUUGGACUUGGAGGCUUGAAUCUGACUCCUGGCAAGUAUCUAGACACAAAGUCACGAGCCAAGGCCUGAAGAUCAUCAUCAUUGACAAGUUGAUCUAAAUCAUCCAAUGGGUUAGAGAGGCUUGUGAAUUCCGUUGAUACCUGUUGUAGUUUAUCAAAAUGCAUUGAUACAUUUGAAUUAGAUGCUACCACUGAAGUUGAUCCUAUACUUGUUUGGCAGGGACUUUGAGCUGGUAGAGCCUGUGCUUGCGCCAAAGGCAGCCUCUGCAAUGUUGAAAGACGGGCCUGAAUGUAAGCCAACUCCGCCUGUAAAUUCACUACCUGCUGUUGAAGAGUAAAGAGGUGGCCAACACAGCCAUAAACAGGGUCUCUAACCCUUGCCAAGGCCUCAUAACAAAGAGUAACAACUGCGUCAAACCGCUUGUGUGCAGGUAUGCGGACGAGGAGCUUGGAGGCAUUGCUAGCACCAAACACCUUGUGCACUGCUGCAAAGUGAGCCGUGCCCUGGUCCGAGUCAAAAUAAGGUGCAAAAAUGCACCCUUUGAGACACUUUCGCCGAAGGAACUUGCAGGCACCGCAAGGCCCACCUCCAUUAUUGGCACCACUCAUCUCUCUCUCUCUCUUUCAAUGUCUUCCUACAGAGAUUAUCCACUUCUGUGUGUUCUUAAAUUCUGGUGGGGUCUAGCAACUAGCAAGGGAGAAGAGAGAAACGAAAUGAAGGAAGAAAUGGGUAUUUAAUUAGAGAAAGA
rnacentral:misc_RNA from 1 species